CCUACGGGUGGCAGCAGUGAGGAAUAUUGGUCAAUGGACGAGAGUCUGAACCAGCCAAGUAGCGUGAAGGAUGACUGCCCUAUGGGUUGUAAACUUCUUUUAUAUGGGAAUAAAAUGUUCCACGUGUGGGAUUUUGUAUGUACCAUAUGAAUAAGGAUCGGCUAACUCCGUGCCAGCAGCCGCGGUACUACUGAGGAUCCGAGCGUUAUCCGGAUUUAUUGGGUUUAAAGGGAGCGUAGGUGGAUUGUUAAGUCAGUUGUGAAAGUUUGCGGCUCAACCGUAAAAUUGCAGUUGAAACUGGCAGUCUUGAGUACAGUAGAGGUGGGCGGAAUUCGUGGUGUAGCGGUGAAAUGCGUAGAUAUCACGAAGAACUCCGAUUGCGAAGGCAGUUCACUGGACUGCAACUGACACUGAGGCUCGAAAGUGUGGGUAUCAAACAGGAUUAGAUACCCUGGUAGUC
rnacentral:rRNA from 1 species